AAAGGAAUAGACGGGGACCCGCACAAGCGGUGGAUUAUGUGGUUCAAUUCGACGCAACGCGAAGAACCUUACCAAGCCUUGACAUGUAAGAUAAAGGCUCUAGAGAUAGAGAGAUAGUUAUAUUUUACACAGGUGGUGCAUGGUUGUCGUCAGCUCGUGUCGUGAGAUGUUGGGUUAAGUCCCGCAACGAGCGCAACCCUUGUUUUCAGUUACCAGCAUUAAGUUGGGGACUCUGGAGAGACUGCCGGUGACAAACCGGAGGAAGGUGGGGAUGACGUCAAAUCAGCAUGCCCCUUAUGGCUUGGGCCACACACGUAAUACAAUGGCGUAUACAAAGGGAAGCGAAGCAGUGAUGCCAAGCAAAACUCAUAAAGUACGUCUCAGUUCGGAUUGGAGUCUGCAACUCGACUCCAUGAAGCUGGAAUCGCUAGUAAUCGCGGAUCAGCAUGCCGCGGUGAAUACGUUCUCGGGUCUUGUACACACCGCCCGU
rnacentral:rRNA from 1 species